ensembl:snoRNA small nucleolar RNA U83B
UUAUGUCUGUGAUGAGACCACGGAAACUUGCGUCAGGCAUGGCGCCCGAAAAAGCAUGAGGAUACAUUCCAUGCUGCCUUCCUUCUGAGACUGCA